AGAAAAACCAGGAAGAGGGAGAGAGAGUGCUGGAAGGAUCUAUGAACAAUAGAGAAAGAGACAAUAGAGAUUGGCUGGAUUUACUGUGUAUGAGCUGGAUUGUUUUGGACUUACCUGUUGGCGUUUGGACCUGGACCUGCCGAGAACCCGAUUUGAGUACCGAACCCUGCUAUCCUUGACCUCGCCUAUGGCCUGGGUGGACCAGGACGGAGAAACAAACACACAGCAUGUUGACAGAAUGGGCCAGAACAGGAGCACCUGUAACAGGAGCACCUGUAACUUGGCAGCCGUGGAGGAGAGGUUUAAAAGAGGAUGGUCUGGAUGUGCCUGUCCUGGUUCUGCCAGCCUAACAGUGACGAACAGCUACAUUAAUCAACCCUGUCCAGCAGACAAGGGGACCUGAGCCCUAGGACCUGAGCUCCAGGACUACCUGACAUGAUGACUCCUUGCUGUCCCCAGUCCACCUGGCCAUGCUGCUGUUCCAGUUUCAACUGACCUGAGCCCUAGGACCAUGCCCCAGGACUACCUGACAUGAUGACUCCUUGCUGUCCCCAGUCCACCUGGCCAUGCUGCUGCUCCAGUUUCAACUUCCACCUGACUGUGCUGCUGCUCCAGUUUCAACUGUUCUGCCUUAUUAUUAUUCGACCAUGCUGGUCAUUUAUGAACAUUUGAACAUCUUGGCCAUGUUCUGUUAUAAUCUCCACCCGGCACAGCCAGAAGAGGACUGGCCACCCCACAUAGCCUGGUUCCUCUCUAGGUUUCUUCCUAGGUUUUGGCCUUUCUAGGGAGUUUUUCCUAGCCACCGUGCUUCUACACCUGCAUUGCUUGCUGUUUGGGGUUUUAGGCUGGGUUUCUGUACAGCACUUUGAGAUAUCAGCUGAUGUACGAAGGGCUAUAUAAAUAAAUUUGAUUUGAUAUAUGGUUACACAUAAACCCUUUGGGGCUCCAUUUAGAACCCUCUGUGGAAAGGGUCCUACAUGGAACCCAAAAUGGUUCUUCAAAGGGUUCUCCUACGGGGACAGCCGCAGAACCAUUUUAGGCUCUAGAUAGCAUAUUUUUUUCCCAAGAAUGUACAAGCCCUUUGAUGUUACAUGGUCUGAUUGAUUGAGUCAUGUAGGCAGCGUUUAGACAGGCAGCCCAAAUUUCCUCUUUUGUUCACUAAUUGGUCUUUUGACCAAUCCAGUCAGCUCUGAAAAAGAUGUUAAAUUAUUUUAUGUGAUUUAUGAAAAGACCAGUUUUGGGCUGCCUGUCUAAACGCAGCCGUAUAGACCUGUUUCUUUAUCUGCAUUGUCUUCUCAGUAAAUGUUGUAGUAAGUAGAAGAAACCCACAGUGUCUUUACUCUAAAUGCGAAUCAUCAGUGUGAGCCAUCCAUCUGGGGCUUCUCAGUGACAGAGGUAGGGGUGUGAGUGACUUUCUUCAAUAGGAUCCACAAGAUUCCUGUCUCUGAUGAUUCCUGGGGAUGUUCCUGGGGAAAUUACCCACGAUGCAGCCCUUAUCCUUGGGCCAAUUCCUAGAACAGAGGAGGAGCCUAGUGAAGAAACCCAGAUAUUGUGUUUAUAUAUACUUUUUUGUCUACAUUAUUUUUCGUCCCUCCCUCUUCUUCCAGUGUGCCAUGUUGAGGUGCCUGGGAGAGCAGCUCCAUUGCCAUCAGCUUCAUUGUGUACCUUGAAAAGAGUGUACAUGAAAAGAGAGUGAGAUGUCUCCCCUGCGGUGGUUUAAUGAUUUAUUGCACAGCCUUCUUGCUCUUCUCAUCUCACUUGUAAGGGGGGAGAGAGUUUAACAAGCACACUUGUUUUCACCCAGCCCUCAGAUAGUCCCCAUUUAGAGCAAUGAGAAAUGUGCCAUGGUGCCACUCUGUGCAGCUGUGACCCAGUUCAUAGACUCUCACCAGCACAGUGUCAGUGGGGAGGACACCAGAUCCAGAGUGGGCACACACAUUUGAUUUUCUGGGGCAUACACACCAUCCCCCUACACUGGCACUGCCACGGCUUUCUAUAGUGCCAACCUUCUAAUGACAGACGAAGGCAAAAACGGCAUUUGUUGACUUAAGAUGUGGCCAUCAUAUCUUAUAUAAAAAAAAAAGUGAACUUAUUUUUAAUUUCUUAGCUUGUCAAGAGACUUGCUGUAUUUAACAGCAGUUAAUUCUGUAUAAGACUUGUCAUGGCAUCCAUUUUGGCAGAGAACCUACAACCUGGCAGAAGAACACUGCACUUUAGAGAAAGACUGUAUUCAUGGUAUCUGUGCCCAGGUACUCCGAGUCGGAGAAAGGAAGCGACUGCACCUUAUGAAACCGAACACCCCAUUGGGAUUCUCACUAGCUGACAAGAUUUAGCACUUAGACUUGGUAUGAAAUCAAUAUGUAGUAUUCUAAGGGACUAGGGCAACCCAAUUUCACAUUUUGAAAGGAACAUCAAAUAAAAUGAGCUUAUUAAAUAGAAAAGAUACUUUAAAAAUAAAGUUUUAAAGAGAUUAUAACAGUAAGAGAGAUGAACAGGGCAAUAUAGCACCUUGCUGCUAUGUCUGUGAACGCAUAUCUACCUUUUUAAAAUGUUAACAAUUAAGUCCAUAUUUUCCCUUUGAAAGUUUGAGAUCUUGAAGUUGAAUGCAGUCUUGACCAUUCACUCUGUUUUAUCUUGUCUCAUUCUGUCCUCAACUUCAACUCUUCUGAAUAAUAGUUGCUAGUGAAAUAUUGAAAAUGAUUUCCUUACCAGCAUCUGAUAACCAUCCAUUCUAAUCCUUUAGUGUGAUUAGACCCAAAUUCAAUCAGUUUCAAAUGAACCCCCCUCUCUUCCUUUUUACUGUUCGGGCUAAUUAUCUUUCAUUCAUUGUGGGAACAUCAUAUCUUUCAUCAGUUCAAACAGCUGGCCACAGGGUUGGUUUACUACGGGCCUUCUGCGUUUAAACUGGGGGAUAACUUUACUGACUCUGGCACAGGUUGAUUCUGUCAAUACACAAUUACACUUGUGUGGAUGUACUCAGUCACAACCGUGUUGGAGCCAAAACCUCUCAGCAUUAUAUAGUUUAACCAAUGACGCAAUACAGUGCUCUCUAAAUGCCAAAUUCAUUCCUAGAUCUAUUUUUAGCUUCUUAAAAAAAUAAUUUCCUACAGUAGCAAUACAGUGAUCUACCUCAUCUCUAUAUGAACUAUUGACCACACCAUUCAACAGAUUCAACAGUGCAUUGGAUAUAGGAACAGCUUGUGUGUAGAGCUCAGUCAUCCAUGGGGAUAGAGUUGUUGAUGCACCUGUCAGUUCUGUGUCCUGUGCCUGGAGCUGUCUGAGUGGAGAUACAUGUCCUUAUUAAGACUCAUGUACAAUCACUGCGUCUGGCUGAUGGACCUUUGUGUUUUGAUGUCAUUUCUCCAUUCCAUACAACACAGGACUCCCACUUGAUGAUCUUUUUCAUAUGACAUUGAUUUAUAAGGAGGUUAUUACAACUGACAAUGAUGGAUAAUGCUCCUGUAUUUAUGAUAAUUAUAUUGAGAUUGAACAUGUUUCAGAUAUUUCAAAAGUCAAAAACGAUUAAAAAGUAAAAGAAGUGAAAGAAAGACC
ensembl:lncRNA